rnacentral:rRNA from 1 species
GCUCUUCUUGGAUGAGUUGCGAACGGGUGAGUAACGCGUAGGUAACCUGCCUUGUAGCGGGGGAUAACUAUUGGAAACGAUAGCUAAUACCGCAUAACAAUGGAUGACACAUGUCAUUUAUUUGAAAGGGGCAAUUGCUCCACUACAAGAUGGACCUGCGUUGUAUUAGCUAGUAGGUGAGGUAAUGGCUCACCUAGGCGACGAUACAUAGCCGACCUGAGAGGGUGAUCGGCCACACUGGGACUGAGACACGGCCCAGACUCCUACGGGAGGCAGCAGUAGGGAAUCUUCGGCAAUGGGGGCAACCCUGACCGAGCAACGCCGCGUGAGUGAAGAAGGUUUUCGGAUCGUAAAGCUCUGUUGUAAGUCAGGAGCGGGUGUGAGAGUGGAAAGUUCACACUGUGACGGUAGCUUACCAAAAAGGGACGGCUAACUACUUGCCCGCACCCGCGGUAAUACAUAGGUCCCCAGCGUUGUCCGGAUUUAUUGGGGCGUAAAGCGAGCGCAGGCGGUUUGAUAAAUCUGAAAUUAAAGGGUGGGGGCUCAACCAUAAUUCGCUU